CAUGCAAGUCGAGCGCACCUUCGGGUGAGCGGCGGACGGGUUAGUAACGCGUGGGAACAUACCCUUUUCUACGGGAUAGCCUCGGGAAACUGAGAGUAAUACCGUAUAAGCCCUUCGGGGGAAAGAUUUAUCGGGGAAAGGAUUGGCCCGCGUUAGAUUAGAUAGUUGGUGGGGGUAAUGGCCUACCAAGUCUACGAUCUAUAGCUGGUUUGAGAGGAUGAUCAGUCACACUGGAACUGAGNACACGGUCCAGACUCCUACNGGAGGCANCAGUGGGGGAAUAUUGCACAAUGGGGGAAACCCUGAUGCAGCAACGCCGCGUGGAAGGAUGACCCACUUUCGGUGCGUAAACUCCUU
rnacentral:rRNA from 1 species